AUGGCCUCCGACCAUCGCUUCGGCGCGCUAAAGGCGUUCGACGAUACCAAGGCCGGGGUCAAGGGCCUCGUGGACGCGGGAGUCACGGCCGUCCCCGUCAUCUUCCACCACGCGCCCGAAUCCCUCAACGACGCGCCCCAUCACCAUGGCCACCAGUUCGCCAUCCCGGUCAUCGACCUCGCCGGCCUCGCGACACCGUCGGAGCGAGCCUCGGCGGUCGGCGCCGUGAAGGCGGCCGCGGAGACGGUAGGUUUCUUCCAGGUCGUGAACCACGGGGUGCCGGUGGCGGCCAUGUCGGCGAUGUUUGCGGUGCUGCGGGGCUUCAACGAGGAGACGGCGGAUGCCAAGGCGCCGUACCACACCCGGGACGACGGCCGGCAGGUGAGGUACCAUAGCAACUUCGACCUGUACCAAUCGCCGGCGGCCAACUGGCGUGACACGCUGUACAUGGAGAUGGCUCCGGAGCCGCCGGCGCCCGAGGAGAUCCCGCCGGCGUGCAGGGCCAUCGCGCCGGAGUUCGCGGGGCUGGUGCAGGGGCUGGGGAGCACGCUGCUCGGGCUGCUGUCGGAGGCGCUAGGCCUCCGGCAAGGGCACCUGGGGGGCUGA
rnacentral:rRNA from 1 species